UGGGGAAUAUUGCACAAUGGGGGAAACCCUGAUGCAGCAACGCCGCGUGAAGGAAGAAGGCCUUCGGGUUGUAAACUUCUUUGACAUGGAACGAAGACAGUGACGGUACCCUGAAAACAAGCCACGGCUAACUACGUGCCAGCAGUCGCGGUAAUACGUAGGUGGCAAGCGUUGUCCGGAUUUACUGGGUGUAAAGGGCGCGUAGGCGGGUCUGCAAGUCAGAUGUGAAAUACCGAGGCUUAACUUCGGAACUGCAUCUGAAACUGUGGAUCUUGAGUACUGGAGAGGAAAGUGGAAUUCCUAGUGUAGCGGUGAAAUGCGUAGAUAUUAGGAGGAACACCGGUGGCGAAGGCGGCUUUCUGGACAGUAACUGACGCUGAGGCGCGAAAGCGUGGGGAGCAAACAGG
rnacentral:rRNA from 1 species